AACAGAGAGCGGGCGAGUCGCGGCGAUGAAUCGCUCUCCUCGGGAUCGGUACAGGACGCUAAACUUCUCGGUACUUCUCGAUACUUCUCGGCGACGGAGCUACACGUGUGCCGAAUGCGUCGAAGCUGUUUAUUUACCUGGCAAAGGCAAGGAUUCGAGGAAAGUGAUCGCGCAGAUUUGGGAGCGGAUGGCUCUGGGAGGGAAAGCCAGAUGCGUUGGGAGUAAUAGAGGGAAGAGGGGGAGCGAAACAACAAAUAGACAAAGGACCGAGGAGAGCAGUAACUGGCCGAAAUUUCAAACGAUACGAGAGAGACAGGCAUAAAAAAGCAACGUCCAGAUAUUCUGAAGAAUAUAAAGAUACGAAAAGAAGGCAUUGCUUUAAAUAAUGGGCUCGUUUAGGGUGCGCGAGUGAAAAAAAAUUACAAGUACAAAAGCAAAAAUUAUAUGGAAAAUGUAAUAUAGUAGUGUGCAUAAUUAUAGACUGAAAAUAACUUUUACAUUGUUAUCGAUGUGUAAAUGAAAACUUAACGUUAAAAUAUACAGAUAUGAUGUUUUGUUA